rnacentral:rRNA from 1 species
AGCGAACGCUGGCGGCAUGCCUAACACAUGCAAGUCGCACGGGGGGGCUUCGGCCUCCCAGUGGCGGACGGGUGAGGAACGCGUAGGGACCUGUCGAGGGGCGGGGGAUAACCGCGGGAAACUUCGGCUAAUACCGCAUGACGCCGCGGCGUGACAGCCGGGGCCAAAGGCGAGAGCCGCCCGCCGCGGGGCCUGCGUCCGAUUAGCUGGGUGGCGGGGUAGCGGCACACCAAGGCGUGGAUCGGGAGCUGGUCUGGGAGGGUGAUCAGCCACACCGGGACUGAGACACGGCCCGGACUGCGACGGGAGGCAGCAGUGGGGAGUAUUGGACACGGGGCGCAAGCCUGAUACAGCAAUGCCGCGUGGGUGAAGAAGGUCUUCGGAUUGUAAAGCCCUUUCGGCGGGGACGAUGGUGACGGUACCCGCAGAAGAAGCCCCGGCUAACUUCGUG